CUCAAUACCUGCGGCAGCCUAAACAUGCAAGUCGAGCGGUAGAGAGAAGCUUGCUUCUCUUGAGAGCGGCGGACGGGUGAGUAAUGCCUAGGAAUCUGCCUGGUAGUGGGGGACAACGUUCGGAAACGGACGCUAAUACCGCAUACGUCCUACGGGAGAAAGCAGGGGACCUUCGGGCCUUGCGCUAUCAGAUGAGCCUAGGUCGGAUUAGCUAGUUGGUGAGGUAAUGGCUCACCAAGGCGACGAUCCGAAAUUGGUCUGAGAGGAUGAUCAGUCACACUGGAACUGAGACACGGUCCAGACUCCUACGGGAGGCAGCAGUGGGGAAUAUUGGACAAUGGGCGAAAGCCUGAUCCAGCCAUGCCGCGUGUGUGAAGAAGGUCUUCGGAUUGUAAAGCACUUUAAGUUGGGAGGAAGGGCAGUUACCUAAUACCUGAUUGUUUUGACGUUACCGACAGAAUAAACACCGGCUAACUCUGUGCCAACAGCCGCGGUAAU
rnacentral:rRNA from 1 species